UACAAGGUACAUACAUAAUAACA
rnacentral:siRNA from 1 species